rnacentral:tRNA from 1 species
GGGCGCUUAGUGGAGUGGUUACCACGUUGGUCUUCGACGCAUCCCUCUAGGGAUUGAUUGGUCAACCAAAGUUCGUCAGUUCGAUCCUGGCAGUGCUCA